UACGUAGGGGGCAAGCGUUGUCCGGAAUCAUUGGGCGUAAAGAGCGUGUAGGCGGCCCGAUAAGUCCGCCGUGAAAGUCCAGGGCUCAACCCUGGAAUGCCGGUGGAAACUGUCGGGCUGGAGUCCGGAAGAGGCGAGUGGAAUUCCUGGUGUAGCGGUGGAAUGCGUAGAGAUCCGGAGGAACACCAGCGGCGAAGGCGGCAUCCUGGACUGGUCCUGACACUCAGGAGCGAAAGCGUGGGGAGCGAUCCGG
rnacentral:rRNA from 1 species